rnacentral:rRNA from 1 species
CAGCUGUAAACUAUGCUCGCUAGGUGUCAGGCAUGGCGCGACCGUGUCUGGUGCCGCAGGGAAGCCGUGAAGCGAGCCACCUGGGAAGUGCGGCCGCAAGGCUGAAACUUAAAGGAAUUGGCGGGGGAGGCACAACAACGGGUGGAGCCUGCGGUUUAAUUUGGACUCAACGCCGGGAAGGCUCACCGGAUAGGACAGCAGAAUGAUUGCCGGGCGUGAAGACCCUCGCAUGACUAGCUGAGAGGAGGUGGCAUGGCGUAGACGUGU